UACGUAGGGUGCAAGCGUUGUCCGGAAUUAUUGGGCGUAAAGGGCGCGUAGGCGGCCACGCGUGUCUUUCGUGAAAUCCCUCGGCUUAACUGAGGACGUGCGGAAGAAACUGCGAGGCUUGAGUCCGGGAGAGGGGGGUGGAAUUCCCAGUGUAGCGGUGAAAUGCGUAGAUAUUGGGAGGAACACCGGUGGCGAAGGCGGCCCCCUGGACCGGUACUGACGCUGAGGCGCGAAAGCGUGGGUAGCAAACGGG
rnacentral:rRNA from 1 species